AUUGAACGCUGGCGGCAGGCCUAACACAUGCAAGUCGAACGAGUGGCGGACGGGUCAGUAAUGUCUGGGACACUGCCUGAUGGAGGGGGAACACUACUGGAAACGGUAGCUCAUACCGCAUACCAUCAGACUUGCCCAGAUGGGAUUAGCUUGUUGGUGGGGUAACGGCUCACCAAGGCGCCGACCCCUAGCUGGUCUGAGAGGAUGACCAGCAACACUGGCACUAAGACAGGGUCCGGACGCCUAAGGGAGGCAGCAGUGGGGAAUAUGGGACAAUGGUCGCAAGCCUGAUGCAGCCCUGCCGCGUGUAUGAAGAAGGCCUACGGGUUGUAAAGUACUUUCAGCGGGGAUGCGUUACCCCCAGAAGAAGCCCCGGCCAACUCCGUUCCAGCAGCCGCGGUAAUUC
rnacentral:rRNA from 1 species